UGUGGACUGAGGUGGCUGGUGAGAGCUGUCAUCUUUUGCCACGACGGGAAAUGAUAAGAGAGCCCCUUCAGAAAAGCCAUCAUAGGUCAAGACAGCAGAUGGGAAAUAGACUGGGGCAGAGGUGCAUUCUCACCUUUCCUGGGUGUGUAUGAAAGUCUGCAGUAUUGGCAUUCACAUUACCUUUCAAAGCUGAACACCUAGACAUCUGGAACUCAGCUCUCCACGCUGCCCAGACGUCAGGAACACUGGAGAUCAGAACUGUGCAUGGCAGGACCACGACCUGAAAUCGGAUACCAUGAGUUCAAACACCACAGCCUUGCCUUGCCCUGACCGCCCCUCCGCUUACUAUGGAGAAUGGCUCCUCUGACUAGCACAGGGGUCCCGGCUGUGAGUUUGCUCUGUGUCAUUUUGGUCAUGCAAGUGCAGCAGACAUCAGGAGACUCUGAGCUAGACUGUACCUUCAUCAUCACUCUUGAUGUGGCUUACUGUGUCGGUGGAGAAACUUAUUAUGGGAGAGGCAGAAAACCUGUUACUCUGAAAUUAAACUGGGACUACCUUGCUAGAAAGGGUAAUCAUUUAUCUAAGGGACUUUCACUUAAGCAAAGCACACCUAUAUUUUGUCAGGAGUCCCUGAGCUCCACCUAAUGUUUGGCUGUGGAUCUCUACAUCUGCUCCCAUCAGUUGCUGGGUGAAGCCUCUCUGAUGAUAAUUACGCUGGGCUCCAGGCAAGACCUUUUCUUAAAUAAAUACAUAACUGAAAACUGUCACAUAGCUUCAGAGUCAGGAGAACAACUGUAGGCGUCUGGUAGCAUCAUGAAAGGGACUUGUGGCUGUUUGCUCUCUGAACCUCAAGACUCCUGGUAUAUCUCUGGUGACUUUGACUUCUUUGGUCUUGCCUUGAACAGUGACGCAUAAGAUACCUUGAUUCAAGCAGAUGGCAAUUAUUUGAAAAGAAGAGCAAACGCUGUACCUGGAACAGCCAACACAAGAUCCAGACACUGGCACAUGCCUGUCAUUCAAGCCUGUGGGAAGCAGAGGCAGGAGGACUGGAGGACAGUUUGGUCUACAUAGCAAACCACUGGUCAGCCAAGACCACAUAGCAAGACCCAGAUGAAGAAGAUGAUGGGGGAGGGGGGAAGGAGAAGAAGUUGAUGAUGUUGGUAGUGAAGAAAGUCGGACAAUACAGUGGUACAAAAUGAUGGCUCAAAGCCCAGAAUGCAGUGUCAGAAGGAAACAGGGCUAGCAUUUAAAAAAAAAAAUGAGGGGGCUGGAGAGAUGGCUCAGCCAUUAAGAACACUGGCGCUUCUUCCAAAGGUCCUGAGUUCAAUUCCCAGCAACCACAU